GUGCCUAUGGUGUAAUGGCAGCACUAGAAUCUGUGGCAUUCUCGGAACGGGUUCGAAUCCCGUUAGGCACCCCA
rnacentral:tRNA from 1 species